AGAGGUAUAUUUCAUAUCACAAUAUUUAUUGGUAUACCUUAAAGGUAAGAAAGGCAUAGCUGUAGCGCACAAAUAUUUAUGCUAUAUUUCAUUACUGUUUCAUGAAGAUAUGGUUUGUGAAAUUUUUGUUUAUGCAAUUUGUACUUUAUGAAUUUACUAUGUACAAAUAUGUUGUUGCCAUCACAUAAGAUAUGGCAUUAAAAAAAAAAAAUUGUAAACUGUAGCACGUAUAUGCUUAUUAUGUCUAUAUUAUAUUUAUUAACAUUAAUAUGUUUUAAUAUGAAGUAUUCAACUGCUUGAUUAUAUAUUAACAUAAUGCUACAACACAAUAUACGCACAAUGCGUAAAUAUUUCAUAUACGGCCCAAAAAUAUUUGUGUUGUUAUAUCCAAUUUUGUUUAAAAUAACUCUUUAGUCCUUUGUGUGACAAUGUAAUGCAUGUUUAAUCAAAGCAAUCUUAUUUUAAUUAUAUUACCUGCAUCAUUGUCAUGAUAUUCUAAAUCCAACAUUUUCACAUGUUCAAUUGAACCUUUGCUUCAGUGUUUAGUUAAUAAUUGUGUAACUCUGUACAAAAAUAUUAUUGCUUUAACUUAUCUUAUCUAGUUGUACAUAGGUUCAUGUCACGGUUAUAUAUAUAUAUAUAUAUAUAUAUAU
rnacentral:lncRNA from 1 species